CCCCCUGUAGCUCAGUGGAUAGAGCAGCGGCCUUCUAAUCCGCCGGUCGGGCGUUCGAAUCGCCCCGGGGGGA
rnacentral:tRNA from 1 species